UGCCCGGUUGUGUAAUGGUAGCACAGCAGACUCUGACUCUGCUUGUCUAGGUUCGAAUCCUAGCCGGGUAA
rnacentral:tRNA from 2 species